AUUGAACGCUGGCGGCAGGCCUAACACAUGCAAGUCGGGCGGAGCGGCGGACGGGUGAGUAAUGUAUGGGGAUCUGCCUGAUGGAGGGGGAUAACUACUGGAAACGGUAGCUAAUACCGCAUACCAUCAGAUGAACCCAUAUGGGAUUAGCUAGUAGGUGAGGUAACGGCCCACCAAGGCGACGAUCCGUAACUGGUCUGAGAGGAUGAUCAGCAAAACUGGAAGUGGGACAGGGUCCAGACUACUACGGGAGGCAGCAGUGGGGAAUAUUGGACAAUGGGUGAAAGCCUGAUCCAGCAAUGCCGCGUGUGUGAAGAAGGUCUUCGGAUUGUAAAGCACUUUAAGUUGGGAGGCGUUACCAACAGAGUAAGCACCGGCUAACUACGUGCCAGCAGCCGCGGUAAUUC
rnacentral:rRNA from 1 species